GUUGUGCUGCUAACAGUGUGCCUAGAUUAAAGGUGUCUAUUGAUAAUGCAGUGUAAAAACAAUUUUGGGGCCUGUCCUCCUAGCUGCUGAAACUGCAGAAGAGCAUACUUGGCAUGCUGAGGUUCCAGGCUCUGUGCAUCCUCUGGGAUGGAUCUCAUCGCUGCCCUUUCCGCUGGGGGCCGUACAGGGGACACAGAAACGCUGCUGCCAAGGGGUGCAGAGAAGGAUGCGACAGCAUCACCAGCCUUGGAAGAAGUGACAGCAACAAGGGAGAUGGAAAGUCUGAAGGUGGCCAACUCUGAUGGAGCAGUGAUGGAAGCGUCAGAAAACCCAGAGGCAGAAGGAAUUGCUGAAAUGAUCCGAGCAGCAGAACGAAUAGCAAAAUGCGAAGUGGCCAAAGUGCUGCAGUCAGCAAUAGCUGAGCUCAAAGAGAUGAGGAGGAGCACGUUGUUAAAGCCAAGGAACAACACCCAACAGGAGGAGGAGGACUGGGAGAAGAAGUGAGAGGUGAUGUGAAGUGAAGGUUGGUUCGUACCCAAAGUGGAGCGUUCCCAUUACGCCCCCUUUGUAAGUGCCCACGCUAUUAGAAAUAAAGAUAUGCCACAUUCCACGUGCAGUAUCUUUCAUG
rnacentral:lncRNA from 1 species